GAACGCGAAGAACCUUACAGGUCUUGACAUACUCGGAAUCUUUUGGAAGCAAAGGAGUGCCUUCGGGAACCGAGAUACAGGUGGUGCCAUGGCCUGCUCGACAGCUCGUGCUCGUCAGAUGUUGCGUUAAGUCCCGCAACGAGCGAAACCCCUAUCAUUAGUUGCCAUCAUUAAGUUAGGGACUCUAAUGAAACUGCCUGCGAAGAGCAGGAGGAAGGUGGGGAUGACGUCAAGUCAUCAUGCCCCUUAUGAUCUGGGCUACACACGUGCUACAAUGGGUAGUACAAAGAGGAGCGAAAUAGCGAUAUGGAGCAAAUCUCAAAAGCUACUCUCAGUUCGGAUUGAAGUCUGCAACUCGACUUCAUGAAGUUGGAAUCACUAGUAAUCGCAAAUCAGCAAGGUUGCGGUGAAUACGUUCUCGGGUCUUGUACACACC
rnacentral:rRNA from 1 species